AUUUAAAUAGCUUAUAUUUAGAGCGUGACACUGAAGAUGUUAAUGAGAUUAUUGUAAUCUUUGAAUA
rnacentral:tRNA from 1 species